GCCAGAUCAUCUGGCUCAUUACAGAUUUCAUGUCUGCUCUGGUGUAGAAGCUCAUCCCCAUCUGGCGAUGGUCUGUCCUGUGAGGUUUUGUGCCUCAGGAAUCCAAGAUGCUGACGGCCAUCCUACUGAGCACCGGCUGAGUCUCUGGUGUGAAGACUGCCCAGUACCAGGAUCUCUCACUUGGGAAGUGAGAUUCCAUCAAAGAAGGAACACAUUAAGACUCAACCAUGGUGGGAGAAAGUCAUCAGGAGAGGAUGCUGGGAACCAUGACUUCUUGGAGGCCGCUCUUCCACAGGAGCGGAGCCAGUGUUCUCAGCAAAAACAUCCAGGAUCUACCACCAUUCAGGAAACAAAUGUAUGACCCUGCACUCAGCUAGGAAGGGCGAACUUCAGAGACCCCUGGAGCGCUCUUCCCACACUGGAAAGACAGGAACUGGAAAGGCAUUUCCAGGAGCAUGCCUUUCAGACUUGACUGUUGCCUACAGUCAGAAUUACAUGCUGCAUCUCCACCCAGACUAUACAUAAGCACACAUAGGCUACUGAAACAAGCAUUCCAGAAAAAUCACUUACCAUUGUUGGGUUGAAGUGGCUUUGGUUUGGUCUAUUCUGUUCUAUUCUAAUCUAUUCUGUCUAAUUCUGGUCUUUAUCAAAGCUAUUUAAAAGUGCUUGCCCAGAUCAUUCAUGAAAUGAUUUCCUGGCUCAUUAAUGGGUUGUAACUCAUAGUUUAAAACAUGCUGGAGCUGGGCAGGCAGGUGUGGAGCUAUGUCAUGCUAGACAUUGCUCCAGAUCAGUAGCCCUCAACCUUCCUAUGCUGUGACCCUUUUAACACUGUUCCUCAUGUUGUGGUGACCCAACUAUAAAAUUAGUUGGUUGAUUACUUCAUAACUGCAAUUUUGCUACUGUUACGAAUUGCAAUGUAAAUAUCUUAUAUUCGAGGUAUCUGAUAUGCCAACAGGGUCACAACACACAGGCUGAGAACUCAACACAUGUUUUUUAAGUGUCAGCUUUGUUUUCAGAGCUGGGCCUCCAUCAGCAGUCAAGACAAAAAACUUGUAAAAAAAACAUCUCUGCUUUCAUGGAGUUUACACCAGGAGGUCAUGUGUAAUAAUCAGUCUAGAUUGUGACAAGUACCAGAACCCAGGGAGAGCAGCAGCUCAGCACAAGGACCAUGGGGUGGGUGGUGGGUGUGUCCCUGAGAAAGUGACAUUACCACUGAGGAUGACUGGGGAUGAGGAGCAAGAAAGAAUAUUCUAGAAAGAAAGGCAGUUAAUGUAUGAAGGUUGAGAGAUGAGAAGCAUGGUGCCCUGCAGACAGACAUGGUGCUAUAGAAGGAGCUGAGAGUUCUACCUCUUGAUCUGCAGGUAGCAGGAAUAGUGUUACACUGGGUGUGGCCUGAGAUCCUUAGACCUCAAAAUCCACCUCCUAGUGAUGCACUUCCUCCAACAAAGCCACGCCUACCCCAACAAGGUCACACCUCUUAAUAGUACCACUUCCAUAUUUUAUUCAAACCACCAUACUCAGGAAGUGGGAAUUAAUCCCAAGAGCAGGGAGAGGUGAUUACAGGAGAGCAGAGAUGCAAAGAGAUAGGGAGGAACCGAUGUAGAUAGAGACAAGCUGUGUGCAGGGCAGGGUGAAGGUGACUUGGUACUGCUGGAGAAAGGGAACAAAGAUGACCUCAGGUCUUUUGUUUUGAGGAGUUGAAGGUGACAGUGGUGGAGAAGAGAGAAGGUCUUUUCACUCAUGAAGCUCUUCAUAGACUCCUCCUAAGAGACUGAUGUCUCUGCUUCCUGCUGGGCAUCUCUACUUUCACCCGCAGACUUCCACCACAGUCUUAGAAAUGCUGAUUAUACUUCUUUGUGUGUAGAUGAUGAUGAUGAUGAGGGUGUUCAUUGAACAUUCUGUCCCAACCGAUACUUUGUGUGACCCUUGCACAGCCUCUUAGUCCAGCAACAGUCCUUUUGGGUGAGUCCUAUGCCCAACUACUCUUCUCAGACAGAGCAAAUUGAGACCAAGGCAGGUCUCAUGAACAUGGUGUUGCUGUUUGGACAGAGCUGUUCUCCAAGCCUCGGCAGUCUGACUCUGGGGUCUAUGGUCUUAAGUACUGCUUACAUCGUAACUGCUCUCUACCUGUCCUGGAUCCUUGAAGUUUGGGACCACUUAGUAUUACUAAUGCUGUUUUAAAAUGCUUCUAGUGCCCACGACAACUACUGGACUCUAAAAGGCCCUUCCAAGGGUUUGUUAGGGAGAACUGUUGACAUAGUGAUAUUGCUCAGACUUCACAGAGGUUCAGGAUUACUUUUGUAAUUCUGACGUAGGGGUUGGCAAUGUUUUUCUGUAAGGAUACAGGCAGUCAAUACCAGGUCUUGCAGGCUGUGGAGGAAGUUCUGUUUCUACUGGGCUCUGACACUGUAGAGCAAAAGCUGUCAGAGACAACAUGGAGACAGUUGGGUGUGACUGAGUCUCAAUAAAACUUCAUUUAUGGAUACUGAAA